GGACGCAGCAGGCAAAACAACAGUCCUCUACAAACUCAGACUUGGUGAAGUUGUCACAACUAUUCCAACUAUUGGUUUUAAUGUGGAGACAGUUGAUUAUAAAAACAUCUCCUUCACUGUUUGGGAUAUUGGUGGUCAGAGUUUAAUUCGAGGCCUCUGGAGACAUUACUAUCACAACACACAGGGCCUGAUCUUUGUGGUGGACAGCAGUGAUC